AACGCGAAGAACCUUACCAGGGCUUGACAUCCCUCUGACGGAUGCAGAGAUGUAUCUUCCCUUCGGGGCAGAGGUGACAGGUGGUGCAUGGUUGUCGUCAGCUCGUGUCGUGAGAUGUUGGGUUAAGUCCCGCAACGAGCGCAACCCUUGCCGUGUGUUGGUCGCAAGAUCUCUCACGCGGGACCGCCGGUGACAAGCCGGAGGAAGGUGGGGAUGAUGUCAAGUCAGCAUGGCCCUUACGUCCCGGGCUACACACGUGCUACAAUGGGUGGUACAAAGGGCAGCGAAGCCGCGAGGUGGUGCGAAACCUAAAAAGCCGUUCGUAGUUCGGAUUGCAGGCUGCAACUCGCCUGCAUGAAGCCGGAAUUGCUAGUAAUCGCGGAUCAGCAUGCCGCGGUGAAUCCGUUCCCGGGUCUUGUACACACCG
rnacentral:rRNA from 1 species